AGAGUUUGAUCCUGGCUCAGAAUCAACGCUGGCGGCGUGCCUAACACAUGCAAGUCGAACGAGAAAGGGGAGCAAUCCCUGAGUAAAGUGGCGCACGGGUGAGUAACACGUGACUAACCUACCCUGGAGUGGGGGAUAACUGAGGGAAACCUUAGCUAAUACCGCAUAAUACCCACGGGUCAAAGGAGCAAUUCGCUCCAGGAGGGGGUCGCGGCCGAUUAGCUAGUUGGCGGGGUAACGGCCCACCAAGACGAUGAUCGGUAUCCGGCCUGAGAGGGCGCACGGACACACUGGAACUGAAACACGGUCCAGACUCCUACGGGAGGCAGCAGUGGGGAAUUUUGCGCAAUGGGGGAAACCCUGACGCAGCAACGCCGCGUGGAGGAUGAAGUCCUUCGGGACGUAAACUCCUUUCGAUCGGGACGAUUAUGACGGUACCGGAAGAAGAAGCCCCGGCUAACUUCGUGCCAGCAGCCGCGGUAAUACGAGGGGGGCGAGCGUUGUUCGGAAUUAUUGGGCGUAAAGGGUGCGUAGGCGGUUUGGUAAGUCUUGUGUGAAAUCUACAGGCUCAACUUGUAGUCUGCACGAGAAACUGCCGGGCUUGAGUGUGGGAGAGGUGAGUGGAAUUUCCGGUGUAGCGGUGAAAUGCGUAGAUAUCGGAAGGAACACCUGUGGCGAAAGCGGCUCACUGGACCACAACUGACGCUGAUGCACGAAAGCUAGGGGAGCAAACAGGAUUAGAUACCCUGGUAGUCCUAGCCCUAAACGAUGACUGCUUGGUGUGACGGGUACCCAAUCCCGCCGUGCCGUAGCUAACGCGUUAAGCAGUCCGCCUGGGGAGUACGGUCGCAAGGCUGAAACUCAAAGGAAUUGACGGGGGCCCGCACAAGCGGUGGAGCAUGUGGUUUAAUUCGACGCAACGCGAAGAACCUUACCUGGGCUCGAAUUGUUAU
rnacentral:rRNA from 1 species